ACAUCGGUGACAGGUGGUGCAUGGUUGUCGUCAGCUCGUGUCGUGAGAUGUUGGUUAAGUCCCGCACGAGCGCAACCCCUAUUGUUAGUUGCCAUCAUUCAGUUGGGCACUCUAGCGAGACUGCCGGUAAUAAACCGGAGGAAGGUGGGGAUGACGUCAAAUCAUCAUGCCCCUUAUGACCUGGGCUACACACGUGCUACAAUGGUUGGUACAACGAGUUGCGAGUCGGUGACGGCGAGCUAAUCUCUUAAAGCCAAUCUCAGUUCGGAUCGUAGGCUGCAACUCGCCUACAUGAAGUCGGAAUCGCUAGUAAUCGCGGAUCAGCACGCCGCGGUGAAUACGUUCCCGGGCCUU
rnacentral:rRNA from 1 species